rnacentral:rRNA from 1 species
AUUGAACGCUUGCGGCAGGCCUAACACAUGCAAGUCGAGCGAGCGGCGAACGGGGGAGUAAUGUAAGUGGACUGCCCGAUAGAGGGGGAUAACUACUGGAAACGGUAGCUAAUCCCGCAUACUAUCGAAUAACCCAUAUGGGAUUAGCUAGUAGGUGAGGUAAUGGCUCACCUAGGCGACGAUCCCUAGCUGGUCUGAGAGGUUUAUCAGCCACAGUGGGACUGAGACACGGCCCAGACUCCUACGGAGGCAGCAGUGGGGAAUAUUGCACAAUGGGCGAAAGCCUGAUGCAGCCAUGCCGAGUGUGUGAAGAAGGCUCUAGGAUUGUAAAGUACUUUCAGUUGGGAGGCGUUACCGACAGAAGAAGCACCGGCUAACUCCGUGCCAGCAGCCGCGGUAAUUC